rnacentral:rRNA from 1 species
UAAGACGAAGGGGGCAAGCGUUGUUCGGAAUUACUGGGCGUAAAGGGCGCGUAGGCGGUUCUUUAAGUCAGGCGUGAAAGCCCUGGGCUCAACCUGGGAGUGGCGCUUGAUACUGGAGGACUAGAGAGUGGGAGAGGUUGGUGGAAUUCCCAGUGUAGAGGUGAAAUUCGUAGAUAUUGGGAAGAACACCGGUGGCGAAGGCGGCCAACUGGACCAUUUCUGACGCUGAGGCGCGAAAGCGUGGGGAGCAAACAGGAUUAGAUACCCUGGUAGUCCACGCUGUAAACGAUGAGUGCUGGACGUUGCGGAGCUUGCUCUGCGGUGUCGUAGCUAACGCGAUAAGCACUCCGCCUGGGGAGUACGGCCGCAAGGUUG